UGCGUAGGCGGAAAAUUAAGUCAGUAAUGAAAUCCUGCAGCUUAACUGUAGAACUGUUAUUGAUACUGGUUUUCUUGAAUACAGUUGAGGCAGGCGGAAUGUGUAAUGUAGCGGUGAAAUGCUUAGAUAUUACACAGAACACCGAUUGCGAAGGCAGCUUGCUAAACUGUGAUUGACGCUGAGGCACGAAAGCGUGGGUAGCAAACAGGAUUAGAUACCCUGGUAGUCC
rnacentral:rRNA from 1 species